CACCAAUUGUUGUUAUUUACAAUCAAAUCAACAACAUUUGUUAUUCAGCAUCCAUUCAACAACAGUUAUUUACAAAAAGCUACGAGUAAGGAAUCAAAAACGACACCACAUAGAGCAAAGAAAGCUUCCUCACCCUUAAAGACACGACACCAUCUUCAUCAUCAACAACAGAGUUAUUUAGAGCAACGAAUCAAAAACGACGCCACAUAGAGCAAAGAAAGCUUCUACACCCUCAAAGACACCACAAUAUUUUCAUCAUCAACAACAGUUAUUUACAGCAAACUACGAGCAAGGAAUCAAAACGACACCACAUAAAGUAAAGAAAGCUUCCUCACUCUCAAAGACACGACACCAUCUUCAUCAUCAACAACAGUUAUUUAGAGCAGUGAAUCAAAAAUGACACCACAUAGAGCAAAGAAAGCUCACCCUCAAAGACACGACACUAUCUUCAUCAUCAACAACAGUAGAUUCUAUUUUGUAAUUUAUAUGAGCAAAGCAAAAAAAAUUUAAAGGCAAUAUACGGUGAUAUACCCAAUGCUUAAAAAUCUUACCUCCCUCUCAACUUUGAAAAAAAAUUUAAAUCUCCUUUUUAAGCGAUAAAUGCAUAUGUGCUGGAACACGAUAUUCGUCAGGUCUUGAAAACUAGUCGGCGCAAUUUUGAUCACAUCAUAGGUCUUCUUAUAAUUCCUAAUUAUUGGUGAUGAUAACAAUUUUGAAAAUUGAUAAUAAUAACAACGGAGGACAAGUAAGUUAACUAAAUGAAAUUACGAUUUAUGAAAACAACUUACGAUAAGGAUUACCAGCUAACGUUUUGGACAAACCAACGUACAAACUCAAAUAAAGAUUUGGAUAAACCAGUAUAAAAUCAAAUGCG